AUGGCCUGAGAAUUCCUCUCAGAGUUGACAGUGUUCUGACAAUGCCUUGGUGCUUCUGGUUGUCUAGACAUUCCUUCCGUUCCGCACAAUUGCUGACUGACUAGUGAUGUGAAAGAGAGAAGCAUCACCUUCUUUGACAACACAAAACCACGAGCUCCAAUGUUCAGCACCAGAAGGAAACAAACAGUCCACAAUGUGGUGAAAUACGUCAUCUAAGAAGAUGACACACCAAGGGCUGCAGAACUGGAUGUUUCUGCUAGCUGGAGGCUGCGACUCUCCUCUCUGCUCUCUGGGAGUUAGGAUGAGGUCAAGUCUGUGUGAACACCAGAGCAGCACAACAAAAACCAGCUGAAUCUGGUCAAACAUAAUGCAGGACUCAGUUCUACCAAUUUUUCUUCAAGCAAAAAAUAUCCUCCACCACUUUCAGUGGCUCUGGAGAGCUACUGCAUAGAACUGAAUAAAUAUGUGGUAUUCUCUCACAGCUUUCCCAAAGUCAGCUUUAUGAAUCCAGACCUGACAUUUUCACGGAUAGGAAAGUUGAGCUCCAGGAAAUGUACACACUUGACCCAGGCCACUAAAGGGAUUACUGUCGCUCCCCGUCUUCGUGGAGGAACGACACAGGACCCUGCGCUGUUCUUUUGUCUGCUCGGCCCUCCCCGGGUUUGCUGCUGGUUCUUCCCGGGUUGGCUGCCAUCCCUUCCACCUCCGUGGAAGGGCGGUUCCUCCUGGCCACUUUCCCCACUUCCGCGGGGGAGCGGCACACCGCUGGCCGGCUCUCUCGGGGGCUGCACAGGUGUUCCUUCAGAUAGAUGUUCCCCUUAGAUGUUCCUGGUGCAUGUUGUCUCUCUCCUCCUUUAUAGUCCUCUUCCACCAAUCCCAACUCUGCUACCCACACGCCGAGUACGCUGCUCUCCUCCAAUCAGGAGCAAGAUCAGCUCCUGCAGCUCAAUCAAAUUGGCGAGAGGCAGCUGUGUAGAAGUUGUUACUCCCUUCUCAGCGCCAUAUUGUGGGAGAGCAGAUGCAUAGAAUAAGUCUUAAUUCCAGUAACUUAGUCUAGUCCAAGUUGCACCCCACAGAUUACAUACCAAGGCUGGAAUGGGACCUCUUUCAUUCUGAAUGACAUAGCUUUGGUGUAUUUCCCCAACUCAUCCAAGUUCAAAGUCCUCUUGCUUUCCAUCUCUUAUGGGUCGAAUUGUGUUUCCCCAGAAAUACGUUGUAGUUCUAAUCACUACAUACCUAUAAAUACGAUCCUAUGUUGAAAUAGGAUUGUUGCAAAGGUAAUCAAGUUAAGAUUGAGUAAUAUUGGAUUAAGGUAAGCCCUAAUCUAGUGAUUUAUAAAAAGAGGGAAAUUUGCAUGUGGAUACACAGGAUGAAACACCUGUGCAGCUGGAGGCAGGCAUGGGAGCUAUGCUAGCAAAAGCUAAGGAGCACCAAGGAUUGCCAGCAUCUACCACAUGCUAGGAAGAGGCAAAGAAGAAUCAUCCCUCAGAGUCUGCAAAGAGAGUACGAAGCAGACGCCUUGAUUUUAGACUUCUAGCCUCUAGAACCAGAGACAGUCCAGUUGUUUCUGUUGUUUUAACCACUCAGCUCUUGUGCUUGUUGAAAUGGACACACCCAACCAAGGCAUUUCUCCCAAGUGGGGAGAGAUGGAGUUAGAGGAACGGGUGAAAGUCUCACACAUUACGAGGGUCCGUGUCAGAAGUCUUGAGGAAUAGACGUAUUCUGCUCCUAAUCUGAUGGUCAGGAGAGGAACAAAGGAUCCAAAGGAGCCUUUAGCAAACAAGGGUCUUCCGGCAUCAGCCUGGGUGUUAGAGCAUAACAUCUAUGGGCAUUUGACUGUGUGGGCAGGAAAGGGUGCCCUGUUCAUUUGUCUCACAAUCAGACAACAAAGUAAACCAAGUAUUCUGGGCGUAUUUAGAGAAUAAAAGCCAAGAGAACAAUCAGAUUUUUUGAGAGAGGUUGAAAAGAAUGUGCCAGAUAUUUUGAGAAAGAGGUUUUGAGUGGGCUCUAAUCCAGCUAGGUAUGAUAGAAACAGUUGCUUGGUGGGAAAAUAAUCCUGCCAAUGACAAUAAUAACAUCUUAUAUUUGUUAGAGCUUUACCAUUGACAAAUCACUUCUGCUAUGGUUUGAAUUCAUGCUGAAACUUAAUUCUCUGGGGGCCGGUGCUGUGGUGUAGCAGGUUAACACCCUGGCCUGAAGCGCUGGCAUCUCAUAUGGGCACCAGUUCAAGACCUGGCUGCUUCACUUUCGAUCCAGCUCUCUGCUAUGGCCUGGGAAAGCAGUAGAAGAUGGGCCAAGUCCUUGGGCCCCUGCACCAAUGUGGGAGACUUGGAAGAAGCUCCUGGCUCCUGGCUUCGCAUUGGCACAGCUUCGACUGUUGUGGCCAAUUGGGGAGUGAACCAGCAGAUGGAAGACCUUUCUCUCUCGCUCUGCCUCUCCUCUCUCUGUGUAACUCUGACUUUCAAAUAAAUAAAUAAAUCUUUAUUAAAAGAAAAAAGAAACUUAAUUCUCUGGGACUGGCAUGGUGACACAGGGGUAAAGCUGCCACCUGCAACUCCCAUAUGCAUCCCAUAUGGGCGCCGGUUCAAGUCCAGGCUGCUCCACAUCAGAUCCACCUUCCUGCU